rnacentral:rRNA from 1 species
CAGAGGGGGCUAGCGUUGUUCGGAAUUACUGGGCGUAAAGGGCGCGUAGGUGGCCUGUUAAGUCGAACGUGAAAUCCCCGGGCUCAACCCGGGAACUGCGUCCGAGACUGGCAGGCUCGAAUCCGGGAGAGGGAUGUGGAAUUCCAGGUGUAGCGGUGAAAUGCGUAGAUAUCUGGAGGAACACCGGUGGCGAAGGCGGCAUCCUGGACCGGUAUUGACGCUGAGGCGCGAAAGCCAGGGGAGCAAACGGGAUUAGGUACCCCGGUAGUCCUGGCCCUAAACGAUGAAUGCUUGGUGUGGCGGGUAUCGAUCCCUGCCGUGCCGAAGCUAACGCAUUAAGCAUUCCGCCUGGGGAGUACGGUCGCAAGGCUG